UUACCACCCCAGAUGACUGAGUAAUAUAUAAACACAUAAUAUAUAUAUAUAUAUAUAUAUAUAUAUAUAUAUAUAUAUAUAUAUAUAUAUAUAUAUAUAUAAUGUCUUUAUAUAUUACUCAAUCAUCUGGGGUGGCAA